rnacentral:rRNA from 1 species
AUGGAGGAUUUCCUGCGGCGACGAGAUCUUCCAAACUCCUGCCGCCGUCGGGCCGAGACCGACGACGUCGACCCUUUGCUGCAGAUUCUGGUGGGCUACACCGCUCACAGCCGCAAGGCUCGGGCGCUCAUAUUCAACACGGCGGCGUCACUGGAGCGGUCGGCGCUCGCGCACAUCGCGCCGCAUAUGCGCGACGUCUUCGCCAUAGGCCCUCUCCACGCCGUCUCGGCGGCGCCGGCGCCGGCCACCAGUUUGUGGCGCGAGGACGACGGGUGCAUGGCGUGGCUGGACGGCCAGGCGGACCGGUCCGUGGUGUACGUGAGCCUGGGCAGCCUGGCCGUCAUUUCACUCGAGCAGUUCACCGAGUUCCUGUCUGGGCUGGUCGGCUCCGGCUACGCGUUUCUGUGGGUGCUCCGGCCGGACAUGGUCGGGGCAAGCCAGAGCGCCGUCCUCCAGGAAGCCGUCGGCGCGGCGGGGAAGGGCAAGGCGCGUGUCGUGGACUGGGCGCCGCAGCGAGACGUGCUGAGACACCGCGCCGUGGGCUGCUUCCUGACUCACGCCGGGUGGAACUCGACGCUGGAGGGGAUCACUGAGGGCGUGCCGCUGGUGUGCUGGCCGUUCUUCGCGGACCAGCACAUCAACAGCCGGUUCGUCGGCGCCGUAUGGGGGACGGGGCUGGACAUGAAGGACGUGUGCGAGAGGGCCGUCGUGGAGGGGAUGGUGAGGCGGGCCAUGGAGUCCGGCCAGCUAAGGAUGUCGGCUCAAGCGCUAUCGCAGAAGGUGAGGCGGGACAUCGCGGAGGGAGGCUCGUCGGCGACGGAGUUCCAACGGCUCAUCGGCUUCAUCAAGGAGUUCGGCAAGAAUUAA